AGAAAAUUAGUUAAGUAUAAUUUAAAUAUGUCAAAUUUAAGUCACCAAAAAUUGGUAUUUUCUG
rnacentral:tRNA from 1 species